GGUGUAAAAUGUUUGCUAGCUUGUGUUCGCCGCUCUAGCGUCUCGGUUUGAGGAGGUUCUUGUGACUAAGGUGGAAAAAUGUCACCAAAAAAGAGAACAAAGAUGGAGAACAUCAGGUCCUUGAGAAGAACCAAAGUCAGGAAACAGUGAGUGGAUCGGGAGAGCAGACAGGACAAGAAGCAGCUGGGGGUGAAGAGGCUCAGGUCUGGACCAUCAGGUCCACAGUGUCCAGCCUGUCUGCCGUCUCCAGGUCACACUUUGGGAUGGCUGGGAAAGGUUUCAUCAUCUCAGCGUCCUGCAGGAACCACUGGAACUCUUUUAGGAACGUCUUUUUUGGCAGAUUUCCAGACAACGGGUUAGGGACGCUGUUCAGACAAAUUUGAGUGCAACAACAUCAAAGGCGAGCUGGUGUGCUGACAUCUGUACUUAUCAGCUGCACCGUCCCCCCGCCCACAGCCAGGUAAGCCCCGCUCAGGAGCCUUAGCUCCGCCUCUGACCUCAGGUAGCCCUGUCUUGCCC